rnacentral:lncRNA from 10 species
GCCGGGUCAGAGUGAGCUUGGCAGAUGAGAAGCCAGGUGCUCUGCAUGGCAAGGUGUGGUUGCCCUCAGGGUCCUCCUUGUCAGGGACCACAAGCCCUGGGGAAGGAGGCACUCGAUGUAGGAGACAGAGAGCAGAGAGGUGGAGUGAGGGUGGGACACGCUUUGGCCUCCCCUCCUCUCCUAGUCUUCCUCCACAUGCCAGUGCCUUUCCCUCCCCAACUCCACGUCGUAUAAGAGCCACAGCAGGAAGGGUAGACCUGGGUCCCCAACAUUCUUUGAAGAAGUCUUUCCAUAAGUGUGUCCACCUCCAUUCCCACUGCAGCUUUAGGGUCUGCCUCAGUGCAGAGCCCUGGGUAUGUACAGAGCAUAGGUGUACAUGAGGGUGAUUCUGGAAGGUUCUUCCUUUGCACAUACCUGCGUGUCUCAGUUUCUCUCCUCUUCAAGUCUGCUCAAAUGGCACCUUCAUGAGGCCCACCCUGACCACCCUACUUAAAAUGCCACCUCUAUUACUUUGCAUUGAUUGUCAACUUUGCAUUUUUUUUUUUUUACUUUUUUUCUUUUUUUUUGAGGUGGAGUCUUGCUCUGUCACCAGGCCUAGAAAAAUGCCUGGCACAGAAGCACUUACUAAAUAUUUGUUAAAUGGAUGAAUAAACUAUGUGACCAGAAUUCCUUAAUACUGGGUCCGAGACUAGAAAGUGGGAGUUACUGGUUUGGUUUUGGCACUUGUUUAGUCAGCUUGUGCUGCCAUAACAAAACACCACAGAUGGAUUGGUUAACAACAGACAUUUCUUUCUCACAAUUCUGGACCCUGGAAAUCUGAGGUUAGGGAACCAGCAGAUUCAGUUCCUGGUGAGGGCCCUCUUCCUGCCUGGCAGACAGCUGCCUUCUUGCCAUAUCCUCACGUGGUGAAGAGAGUGGGAGCUCCAGUCUCUUCUUUUUCUUAAAAGGACACUAAUCCCAUCAUGGGGGCCCCAACCUCUCAACCUCUUCUGAAUCUAAUCACUUCCCAAGAUGGCCACCAGUCUCAAGGAGUUUACUGUCACAGUGGGAGCAAAGAUGCUACAGCAGGUUGUAAAAUUAGGUGUCAUCCCAGUCAGUGGGGAGAGGACAGGUAAUUCAGGGAAGGGGACCUGGAUAGAGCUCACCCAUAGGAUAUGGCAGGUCCCAGAACUCUACUGAAAUCAAGUCUGGAUAAAAGUCAAUAAUAUUCUUCUGACCGAAUUCCUUUCAGUCUUCCUGAGGGAUGGGCAGGCUCAUUCCAGAAUAAAGAAGAUGCCUGGGGUAAAGAAGACUAGUCUCCAAGGGCACUGGCCCAGGACACCUAGGUUCUACUGGUCACCAACGCCCACCCAGAUCUCUCCUGGGUGGAGCCUUGUUCCAAGCCUCUCACAGCCCUUGCCUGCAUUCCCAUGGUGCUCACCAUGGAUAACAGGGCCACAGCCAGCCUCAGAGCCAGACUGUUAAGUGAAACCACUGAUCCUUGCUGAAUUACUUCUUUGAGGCUGAGAUAAACUUCACAUUUCAGCCUCAUUAAUAAGAUUAAUUGUAAAUCCAAAUGGCCUGCAAAUCUAUAAACAGUCGCUCAGUUGAUUAGCCAGAACAUUGAGGACUGUUAAUGAUACAGGAAAAGGCCCAUUUUGGAGGUGAGAAGCUGAGGAGCCUGAAACUGUUUCCAUUGUUUAUGAAAGUAAUCUGACAAUUAUGAAUGAAAAUACCCACCACCCCCCGACCCAGCAAUCCAAGGUGGGAAAUAUCUUUUUUUUUUUUGAGACGGAGUUUUGCUCUUGUCCCCCAGGCUGGAGUGCAGUGAUGCAAUCUCAGCUCACUGCAACCUCCAUCUCCCAAGUUCAAGUGAUUCUCCUGCCUCAGCCUCCCAAGUAACUGAGAUUACAGGCGUGUGCCACCAUGCCAGGGUAAUUUUUGUAUUUUUAGUAGAAACGAGGUUUCACCAUGUUGACCAGGCUGGUUUCGAACUCCUGACCUCAAGUGAUCCGCCCACCUCAGCCUCCCAAAUGCUGAGAUUACAGGUGUGAGCCCAAACUCCUACUUUUAAAUCACUGCAUAAUAGUCCAUAGUCCAUUGAAUGGAGUAUAGCAAUAAACACUGUUACAUAUUCUGAACCUCAACUCCCUCCCUCCCUCCCUUCCUCUCUCUCUCUCUUCUUUCUUUCUUAUUUUUUGACACAGGGCCUCACUCUGUCACCCAGGCGGAGUGCAGUUGUGGGUUAAUCAUGGCUCACUGCAGCCGCGACCUCCCCAGGCUCAGGUGAUCCUCCCACCUCAGCUUCCGGAGUAGCUGGGACUACAGGCAUGAGCCACCUCACCCGGCUAAUUUUUUGUAUUUCUGGUGGAGAAGGGGUUUCACCAUUUUGCCCAGGCUGGUCUUAAACUCCUAGGCUCAAACCAUCUGCCUGCCUCACCCUCCCAAAGUGCUAGGAUUACAGGUGAGCCACCACACCCAGCCAACUGCCUUUAUUUCUGUAAGAGAUAUUUCCCGGCCAGGCGCGGUGGCUUACACCUGUAAUCCCAGCACUUUGGGAGGCCGAGGCGGGUGGAUCACCUAAGGUCAGGAGUUCGAGACUAGCCUGGACAACAUGGCAAAACCCCGUCUCUACUAAAAAUAUAAAAAUCAGCCGGGCGUGGUGGGGGGUGCCUGUAAUCGCAGCUACUUGGGAGGCUGAGGCAGGAAGAAUUGCUUGAACCCGGGGGGGUGGGGGUUGCAGUGAGCCCAGAUGGCGCCACUGCACUCCAGUCUGGGUGACAGACCAAGACUGUCUCAAAAAAAAUAAAAUACAUAAAUAAAUAACAAUAAUAAUAUGUAAGAUUUGUCCCACGGCAUUUUGAGGUGAUGGCAGGCAGAAAUAAAGCCAGUCCCACCCUUUCUGGGCUAGGGAAAGCUGAGAUGGUCUUCGGCUCCGGGUGAGUCACUCCCCAGGGUCCAGGCCUGGCUGCCCGUUCCCCUCCCCCUCCAACCCACCUACAGCCCCUUCUGCUCUGCCCCAUCAACUACAUUUUCUCCCUCAGCACUCGCCUUAGAUUCCUGGACCCACAGCACAGAGGCGACCUCCUCCUUGCAGACUUUAGGCGCCACUGCGGGGUCCGGAAAAAAAAGAGAAACGGCCCAGCGCUGUCACUUACAUAACCCAGGGCGGGGCUGCGCUCGGCGACCGCAAGCGUUUUGAAUUCUGCGCCCCAGAGUUCACUGCGAGGACUGGGAUCACCCGUCACCCCGCCCUGGUCUACGGAAAAUGACAAGUGUUUACUGAUAUAGAAACGGAAUAACGGCGCUGUGGGCUGGGGUGGGCGGAGCUGCCUUCAGGCUUCUGGUCUCCAGCGGCGGGGAACUCACACCUGCCGCUGUGAAAAUGCAGACCCGCGGGGCAGUAAUUCCGAGUCCAGCCUGGGGCGCGAUCUGGAAUCUUGACUCGCUUGAAACACCACGACGGAUUCGGAGACAGGUGAGUAGAGAAAUGAGCCUCAGCCCCUCCCACGGGCCGCCCACGGAUUCCAGGAUCCGGAAACUCUUCCUGCUGCUGCGUCACCCCAGGAAGGCAGCGCCCGCCUCUGGGCAGUUCUGAUGGAAACUGGCUUCGCCGCCCAGAGGAAAACCCACAACUAAGGGGCCAAGAAAAAGCCUCCAUGGUCCCGCCCUUUCAGUGAGGAUCCUAAUUUAUACCCCGAGUGUGGCCCCCAUCAAAGUCUGCAGUGACAGCCGAGCGCGGUGGCUCACGUCUGUAAUCCCGGCACUUUGGGAGACCAUGGCGGGCGGAUCACUUGAGGUCAGGAGUUCGAGACCAGCUUGGCCAACAUGGUGAAGCCCCUUCUCUACUAGAAAUACAAAAAUUAGCCGGGUGUGGUCGUAGGCGCCUGUAGUCCCAGCUACUCGGAGGCUGAGGCAGAAAAAUGGCUUGAACGCGGGAGGCGGAGCUUGCAGGGAGCCGAGAUCGCGCCACUGCACUCCAGCCUGGGCGACAGAGACUCCAUCUCACACACACACAAAAAAUGUAGAGUGACGUUCACUGAAAUGAUACUAGACCAGCGGGAGGGACCCAGAGCGCUGCGGUUCACAGAAUGCGGUGACAGCGCCGCCUCGCGUCCUUUACUUCAACUGCCCCAGGCAGACGUGGUCACGUGUGUUGGCCUGGAGGCUGGAAUACACCGGGGUCAAAUGCAGAGUGGAGAAAGGAGGGAAGGAUGGGAGGACGUGUUGAAGAAAGACAGUAAGAGCUAGCGCUAUGGUUCAUAUCUGUAAAACUAGAGUUUUCGGAGGCGAGGCAGGAGGAUCGUGUGAGACCAGGAGUUUGAGGUCGCAGUGAGCCGUGAUCACACCACUGCACUCCAGCCUGGACGACAGAGUGAGACCCUGCUUUUAUAUACUUUUCAUAUUUUCUGUAAUUAAGCAAGUUUUGUGUCCGGAAUUGGUGGGUUCUUGAUCUCACUGACUUCAAGAAUGAAACUGUGGACCCUCGCGGUGAGUGUUACAGCUCUUAAGGUGGCGCGUCUGGAGUUUGUUCCUUCUGAUGUUCGGACGUGUCCGGAGUUUUUUCCUUCUGGUGGGUUCGUGGUCUCGCUGGCUCAGGAGUGAAGCUACAGAGCUUUGCGGUCAGUGUUAUAGCUCUUAAGGCGGCACGUCUGGAGUUGUUUGUUUCUCCCGGUGGGCUUUUGGUCUUGCUGGCUUCAGGAGUGAAGCUGUAGACCUUCACAGUGAGUGUUACAGCUCAUAAAAGCACUAUGGACCCAAAGAGUGAGCAGUAGCAAGAUUUAUUGCAGAGCAAAAGAACAAAGCUUUAGCAGUGUGGAAGAGAACCCGACUGGGUUGCCACUGCUGGCUCGGGCAGCCUGCUUUUAUUCUCUUAUCUGGCCCCACCCACAUCCUGCUGAUUGGUAGAGCCGAGUGGUCUGUUUUGACAGGGUGCUGAUUGGUGCGUUUGCAAUCCCUGAGCUAGACACAAAGGUUCUCCAAGUCCCCAUCAGAUUAGUUAGAUACACAGUAUGGACACAAAGGUUCUCCAAGGCCCCACCAGAGCAGCUAGAUACAGAGUGUAGAUUGGUGCAUUCACAAACCUUGAGCUAAACACAGGGUGCUGAUUGGUGUGUUUACAAACCUUGAGCUAGAUACAGAGUGCCGAUUGGUGUAUUUACAAUCCCUGAGCUAGACAUAAAGGUUCUCCAAGGCCCCACCAGAGCAGCUAGAUAGAGUGUGGAUUGGUGCACUCACAAACCCUGAGCUAGGCACAAGGUGCUGAUUGGUGUGUUUACAAUCCCUGAGCUAGACAUAAAGACUCUCCACGUCCCCACCAGACUCAGGAGCCCAGCUGGCUUCACUUAGUGGAUCCCGCACCGGGGCUGCAGGUGGAGCUGCCUACCAGUCCCGCACGGUGCGCUUGCAUUCCUCAGCCCUUGGGUGGUCGAUGGGACUGGGCGCCGUGGAGCAGGGGGUGGUGCUCGUCGAGGAGGCUCGGGCCGCACAGGAGCCCUUGGAGUGGGUGGGAGGCUUAGGCAUGGCGGGCUGCAGGUCCCCAGCCCUGCCCCGCGGGAAGGCAGCUAAGGCUCGGUGAGAAAUCGAGCGCAGCGCUGGUGGGCUGGCACUGCUGGGGGACCCAGUACACCCUCCGCAGCUGCUGGCCCGGGUGCUAAGUCCCUCAUUGCCAGGGGCCAGCAGGGCUGGCCGGCUGCUCCGAGUGCGGGGCCCGCCAAGCCCACGCCCACCCGGAACUCCAGCUGGCCGGCAAGCGCGGCACACAGCCCCGGUUCCCGCUCGCGCCUCUCCCUCCACACCUCCCCGCAAGCUGAAGGAGAGGGCUCCGGCCUUGGCCAGCCCAGAAAGGGGCUCCCACAGUGCAGCGGUGGGCUGAAGGGCUCCUCAAGUGCCGCCAAAGUAGGAGCCCAGGCAGAGGAGGCGGGGAGAGCAAGCGAGGGCUGUGAGGACUGCCAGCACGCUGUCACCUCUCGGUUUUACUUUAUUUUAGGAUAAAAUAUCUAUUGUGAAUUUUAAAAACAUGUAAAAUAAAAUUUUAAUUAAAAAGCCUAAAUGUUCUUUUCCUAUUUAUCCUGAAGGAAAUUCCUGUUGAUGGCGCAUUUAGGAACUUAUUUAUCCCCUGAAGACCUGAGCCCUGCACAUAUCAAAACUGUACAUUCCUUGUGGAGCAGUCUUCUCUUUUGAAAUGUAGACACUAUUUCCCUAAUCUUCAAGCCAGCCAUUGUCACUCCUAGUGACACUUCCAUUGGAUAAGCUCCUUACUCUCACUGAAAUUGGCCUCAGAGUUGCAGCCAAGCAUUGGGAGCCAUGGCAGAAGUCAUUGUGGGGUUUGCACCUGGCUGAUGUGGAAGGUAGUCCUGAAAGGUAGUGUGUGACUAAGUGGGCUCUGGAGGGCAGGGAUGUGCCUGGUGAGAGGAGAACAAGACAGAUAGGAAGGUUCCAAAAGAAAACUUCAGGGGUCCCUGUGCCCAACAUCGGGAUUUAGAAAAUCUUCUCCCAGCCACUUUUGACCUGCUUUCAUUCCGCUUUCCUGUCUACCAGGCCAUUGCAGGCAGUUCCUUCAUUGAAUAAAUAUUUAUCAAAUACCUACCACGUGCCAGGCAUUGUGUUUAAGGAGCUGGGGCUGAGGUAAGAGGAACCAAACCCCCCUUGCGCUCAAGGUUGUCCCAGUCUUGCUCAGGCAGAGAUCAGUCAGGAAAUUGUAACACUAAUGGUUGGCAGGACAUGUACACAUGCUUUGCAAACUCACAAGUAGACCAUCUUCUCUGACCUAGGAGUCACAGAAAGUUCACAAAAGAGACAAUGUUCAAGCUAUGUUUUGAGGUGUAAGUAGGAGCCCAACAGGCACCUGGGACAAGAGAGCAUUGCUCAGAAUCCAGAACAUGAAUUUCUUUCCCUGGGCCAGGCCAAGAAUCAGACUAAGCUGACUGAGGAGCCAGAUGCUUCCUGGCAAGAAAGGGUGUCCCACAUCUGACUAUUCCAAAAUCACAGCUACUCAAUGUUGAGACUUAAGACAGACAGAAAAAGAGAAAGGCCUGAUUCGAAAAGCAGAAUUCUCCAGGGGUGGGGGGAGGUUAAACUGCAGUUUCUGAUAUAAUAUGUGUGGGCCAG